rnacentral:rRNA from 2 species
GACGAACGCUGGCGGCGUGCCUAAUACAUGCAAGUCGAACGAACUCUGGUAUUGAUUGGUGCUUGCAUCAUGAUUUACAUUUGAGUGAGUGGCGAACUGGUGAGUAACACGUGGGAAACCUGCCCAGAAGCGGGGGAUAACACCUGGAAACAGAUGCUAAUACCGCAUAACAACUUGGACCGCAUGGUCCGAGUUUGAAAGAUGGCUUCGGCUAUCACUUUUGGAUGGUCCCGCGGCGUAUUAGCUAGAUGGUGGGGUAACGGCUCACCAUGGCAAUGAUACGUAGCCGACCUGAGAGGGUAAUCGGCCACAUUGGGACUGAGACACGGCCCAAACUCCUACGGGAGGCAGCAGUAGGGAAUCUUCCACAAUGGACGAAAGUCUGAUGGAGCAACGCCGCGUGAGUGAAGAAGGGUUUCGGCCCGUAAAACUCUGUUGUUAAAGAAGAACAUAUCUGAGAGUAACUGUUCAGGUAUUGACGGUAUUUAACCAGAAAGCCACGGCUAACUACGUGCCAGCAGCCGCGGUAAUACGUAGGUGGCAAGCGUUGUCCGGAUUUAUUGGGCGUAAAGCGAGCGCAGGCGGUUUUUUAAGUCUGAUGUGAAAGCCUUCGGCUCAACCGAAGAAGUGCAUCGGAAACUGGGAAACUUGAGUGCAGAAGAGGACAGUGGAACUCCAUGUGUAGCGGUGAAAUGCGUAGAUAUAUGGAAGAACACCAGUGGCGAAGGCGGCUGUCUGGUCUGUAACUGACGCUGAGGCUCGAAAGUAUGGGUAGCAAACAGGAUUAGAUACCCUGGUAGUCCAUACCGUAAACGAUGAAUGCUAAGUGUUGGAGGGUUUCCGCCCUUCAGUGCUGCAGCUAACGCAUUAAGCAUUCCGCCUGGGGAGUACGGCCGCAAGGCUGAAACUCAAAGGAAUUGACGGGGGCCCGCACAAGCGGUGGAGCAUGUGGUUUAAUUCGAAGCUACGCGAAGAACCUUACCAGGUCUUGACAUACUAUGCAAAUCUAAGAGAUUAGACGUUCCCUUCGGGGACAUGGAUACAGGUGGUGCAUGGUUGUCGUCAGCUCGUGUCGUGAGAUGUUGGGUUAAGUCCCGCAACGAGCGCAACCCUUAUUAUCAGUUGCCAGCAUUAAGUUGGGCACUCUGGUGAGACUGCCGGUGACAAACCGGAGGAAGGUGGGGAUGACGUCAAAUCAUCAUGCCCCUUAUGACCUGGGCUACACACGUGCUACAAUGGAUGGUACAACGAGUUGCGAACUCGCGAGAGUAAGCUAAUCUCUUAAAGCCAUUCUCAGUUCGGAUUGUAGGCUGCAACUCGCCUACAUGAAGUCGGAAUCGCUAGUAAUCGCGGAUCAGCAUGCCGCGGUGAAUACGUUCCCGGGCCUUGUACACACCGCCCGUCACACCAUGAGAGUUUGUAACACCCAAAGUCGGUGGGGUAACCUUUUAGGAACCAGCCGCCUAAGGUGGGACAGAUGAUUAGGGUG